AACGAACGCUGGCGGCAUGCCUAACACAUGCAAGUCGAACGAGACCUUCGGGUUUAGUGUCGCACGGGUGCGUAACGCGUGGGAACCUGCCCUUAGGUUCGGACUAACUCCCCGAAAGGGGUGCUAAUACCGGAUAAUGUCUUCGGACCAAAGAUUUAUCGCCUUUGGAUGGGCCCGCGUUGGAUUAGCUAGUUGGUAGGGUAAAAGCCUACCAAGGCGACGAUCCAUAGCUGGUCUGAGAGGAUGAUCAGCCACACUGGGACUGAGACACGGCCCAGACUCCUACGGGAGGCAGCAGUGGGGAAUAUUGGAAAAUGGGCGAAAGCCUGAACCAGCAAUGCCGCGUGAGUGAUGAAGGCCUUAGGGUUGUAAAGCGCUUUUACCCGGGAUGAUAAUGACAGUACCGGGAGAAUAAGCUCCGGCUAACUCCGUG
rnacentral:rRNA from 1 species